GACGAACGCUGGCGGCGUGCUUAACACAUGCAAGUCGAGCGGAAAGGCCUCUUCGGGGGUACUCGAGCGGCGAACGGGUGAGUAACACGUGAGUAAUCUGCCCUUCACUCAGGGAUAACCUCCGGAAACGGUGGCUAAUACCUGAUCCGACGACAGGCCGCCUGGUGGGGGUGUGGAAAGUUUUGUCGGUGGGGGAGGUGCUCGCGGCCUAUCAGCUUGUUGGUGGGGUAAUGGCCUACCAAGGCUUCGACGGGUAGCCGGCCUGAGAGGGUGACCGGCCACACUGGGACUGAGACACGGCCCAGACUCCUACGGGAGGCAGCAGUGGGGAAUAUUGGACAAUGGGCGGAAGCCUGACCCAGCAACGCCGCGUGAGGGAUGACGGCCUUCGGGUUGUAAACCUCUUUCAGUACCGACGAAGCGAGAGUGACGGUAGGUACAGAAGAAGCACCGGCCAACUACGUGCCAGCCGCCGCAGUAA
rnacentral:rRNA from 1 species